GGUUUCUACAAGAUAAUUGACUUCUUUGUGAUCCUCUUCAAAUUGGAAGCCGCCUGACUCUAUAUGCUGCAGGGGGAGUGAAGAGGAAGGUGAAGUGGUGCAGUCUCAGACUCUGCUCCCCACCAAAAGAUGCAGCUCCCGAGGCUCCAGUUUGGCCGGUGGACCCACAGAUGUGCAGGAGCGCUGUCUGCCGGGACACACGGCCCCGAAGGAGCCCUGCGGCGGUCCCUGCUCCCGGGGGGCACGCACAGAUGGGCAUCUCCAGCAGCCCGAAUUCCAGCUCCUGGCUCUGCCAGCCCGGUGACGGCAGCACAUUUGCACAAGGAGCCACUGGUUUAUUUUGAUACCAAAUUUCCAGCUACUGAAGGUAAUUGAGACUGCAAACAAAAUCUCACCAUCCACUGAUCUGCCAAAUCAAAUUUUUUCUCCUGAAUUCACACACCUAAUCGCUCCAAGCAGGAUGCUCCUCCAAGGUGGGAAAGCAGCCCUGAAGUGACAGCUCUCCAGCAUUUUGGGGGACUCAGGGUUUGUGAAAAUAAGCACCGGUGAAUGAAGAUGAAAGAGAAAUGUUGCUGGUUUCUUCCCUGGAGAUCGUAUUUCUUACUUGUUGCAUAACUGCUUAUUUUAGCAUCAAUCAGCCAAGUCUUUGUUGUGCAGACAAUUCUGUCCUUUUAAAGGAUUUGUGCAGUAUUGUUUCUUCCAAAA